AAAAAGAUAAGCUAAAUUUAAGCUUUUGGGUUCAUACCCCAACUAUAAAGUAAAACUUUUCUUUUUA
rnacentral:tRNA from 1 species